GUUAAUCUGACGAGUGGCGAACGGGUGAGUAAUGUAUCGGAACGUGCCCAGUCGUGGGGGAUAACUACUCGAAAGAGUGGCUAAUACCGCAUACGACCUGAGGGUGAAAGCGGGGGACCGUAAGGCCUCGCGCGAUUGGAGCGGCCGAUAUCAGAUUAGCUAGUUGGUGGGGUAAAAGCCCACCAAGGCGACGAUCUGUAGCUGGUCUGAGAGGACGACCAGCCACACUGGGACUGAGACACGGCCCAGACUCCUACGGGAGGCAGCAGUGGGGAAUUUUGGACAAUGGACGCAAGUCUGAUCCAGCCAUGCCGCGUGCGGGAAGAAGGCCUUCGGGUUGUAAACCGCUUUUGUCAGGGAAGAAACGAGUUUCUCUAAUACAGAGACUUAAUGACGGUACCUGAAGAAUAAGCACCGGCUAACUACGUGCCAGCAGCCGCGGUAAUACNUAGGGUGCAAGCGUUAAUCGNAAUUACUGGGCGUAAAGCGUGCGCAGGCGGUUAUGCAAGACAGAGGUGAAAUCCCGGGCUCAACCUGGGAACUGCCUUUGUGACUGCAUAGCUAGAGUACGGCAGAGGGGGAUGNAUUCCGCGUGUAGCGGU
rnacentral:rRNA from 1 species